AACGCACAUUGCACCCGGUGGUAUUCUGCCGGGUAUGCCUGUUCGAGCGUCAUUUCUACCCUCAGGCCUUGCUGUUUAGGCGGCGUAGGUGCUGGUGUUGGGAGCUUACAGCGUUGGCUGGAUAUCUUCCAGCCGCUGUAGUCCCUAAUUUUAUCGGCGUACACGUGUACGUUGCCCCCUGCGUAGUGGUUUUUCUUUCUCGCACCGGGCCGUGCCGCCGUACCGCCGCAAAAUCUUUUUACAAUUAUGAGUUUGACCUCGAAUCAGGUAGGGUUACCCGCUGAACUUAA
rnacentral:misc_RNA from 1 species